rnacentral:rRNA from 1 species
ACGAACGCUGGCGGCGUGCCUAAUACAUGCCAGUAGAACGCACAGUUUAUACCGUAGCUUGCUACACCAUAGACUGUGAGUUGCGAACGGGUGAGUAACGCGUAGGUAACCUGCCUGGUAGCGGGGGAUAACUAUUGGAAACGAUAGCUAAUACCGCAUAAUAUUGAUUAUUGCAUGAUAAUUGAUUGAAAGAUGCUAUUGCAUCACUACCAGAUGGACCUGCGUUGUAUUAGCUAGUAGGUGAGGUAACGGCUCACCUAGGCGACGAUACAUAGCCGACCUGGGAGGGUGAUCGGCCACACUGGGACUGAGACACGGCCCAGACUCCUACGGGAGGCAGCAGUAGGGAAUCUUCGGCAAUGGACGAAAGUCUGACCGAGCAACGCCGCGUGAGUGAAGAAGGGUUUCGGAUCGUAAAGCUCUGUUGUAAGAGAAGAACGGGUGCGAGAGUGGAAAGUUCACACUGUGACGGUAUCUUACCAGAAAGGGACGGCUAACUACGUG